UACGUAGGUGGCAAGCGUUGUCCGGAAUUAUUGGGCGUAAAGCGCGCGCAGGUGGUUUCUUAAGUCUGAUGUGAAAGCCCACGGCUCAACCGUGGAGGGUCAUUGGAAACUGGGAGACUUGAGUGCAGAAGAGGAUAGUGGAAUUCCAAGUGUAGCGGUGAAAUGCGUAGAGAUUUGGAGGAACACCAGUGGCGAAGGCGACUAUCUGGUCUGUAACUGACACUGAGGCGCGAAAACGUGGGGAGCAAACAGG
rnacentral:rRNA from 1 species